GUUGGCCUACGGGGCGCAGCAGUGAGGAAUAUUGGUCAAUGGACGAGAGUCUGAACCAGCCAAGUAGCGUGAAGGAUGACUGCCCUAUGGGUUGUAAACUUCUUUUAUAUGGGAAUAAAGUGAGCCACGUGUGGCUUUUUGUAUGUACCAUACGAAUAAGGAUCGGCUAACUCCGCGCCAGCAGCCGCGGUAAUACGGAGGAUCCGAGCGUUAUCCGGAUUUAUUGGGUUUAAAGGGAGCGUAGGCGGCUUAUUAAGUCAGUUGUGAAAGUUUGCGGCUCAACCGUAGAAUUGCAGUUGAUACUG
rnacentral:rRNA from 1 species